GUUCCAUUAAGUGAAAAUAGCAUUGGGAAGUUGGUCACGUGAUGUGAGUGUGUAAUUGGUCGCAAUGCUACAUGGGAUAUGUAGUAAAUGAUUACAGAGCCGAUGUGGAUGUCGUCGGCCAUAUUGUGAAGGGUAAGAGGAAAAUUGCGGCGGCCAUAUUGUGAAGAUCAAAUAGUGGCCGAAAAUAGUGGUCGCCAUGUUGGGGAGGUCUUUUUGACAAGGUUCCUAUU